AUCGCUUCUCGGCCUUUUGGCUAAGAUCAAGUGUAGUAUUUAACUCCUCAAACACCUAAAUUCGAUGCUCAAAAUGAAUUUUUUCUCGACACCCCUA
rnacentral:snRNA from 1 species